rnacentral:rRNA from 1 species
AACGAACGCUGGCGGCGUGCUUAACACAUGCAAGUCGAACGAGAAAAUCCUGGCUUGCCAGGAUGAGUAAAGUGGCGCACGGGUGAGUAACACGUGAGUAAUCUGCCCCUAAGUCAGGAAUAACAUUGCGAAAGCGAUGCUAAUACCUGGUAAGCCCACGACUUCUUCGGUAGAUGUGGGAAAAGGUGGCCUCUGACAUAAGCUAUCACUUAGGGAUGGGCUCGCGGACCAUUAGCUUGUUGGUAGGGUAAUGGCCUACCAAGGCGAUGAUGGUUAGCUGGCCUGAGAGGGUGGCCAGCCACACUGGAACUGAGACACGGUCCAGACUCCUACGGGAGGCAGCAGUGGGGAAUCUUGCGCAAUGGGGGAAACCCUGACGCAGCAACGCCGCGUGAGUGACGAAGGCCUUCGGGUCGUAAAGCUCUGUCAGAUGGAAAGAAUUAGUUCGCUGAAAAUAUUGGCGAGUGAUGACGGUACCAUCAGAGGAAGCACCGGCUAACUCCGUGCCAGCAGCCGCAGUAACAC